CCCCACCCCUCGCCGAAGCCCGCCCCUGAGGGCGCCGCCCGGAGUCCCGCUCCCCUAGCGUCAUUUCUGACGCCGCGAGGAGCCCCGAAUCUCGGCCCCCGUUGGCCCCGCCCCUCGGCCAAGUCCCGCCCCCAACAAGCCUCUCCCAAAGCCCAAGAGCCCCUCCCAGGCCGCGAGCCUCCGAGUCUUUGGCCACGCCCCGACGGCCCCGCCUGCUUGCCGGGUUGAGAUCCUGGAGGCCUGGGUGCUGCCAGUCUCCUGCCUUUCAGCUCCGCCCCGGACUACCGCACUUACCUUUGACUUGAGGAAACUGAGACUCAGAGAAGACAAGAUUUACCCACGGUCAAGCAGGAGGUCAGUCCAGGGGCAAAAGUCCAGUGGGCAUCCAGUAGCCCCCAGAGGUCAACCAAAGCCCAAAGGAUGGAGCAGGCCCUGUCUGCACUGAGAUCGCUGAAACCCCAGAUGAGCUUUCCCUCCUUACAACUGUUCUUGUCCGGUCUUUUGAUCACAACAGCAAAACAGCUGACUAAACAAUAAGUAAGUGGAGAAGAGCGAGGUGGCCUCCAGGCAGAAGUGGUGCUCAGGCCCUGCAGGAAGCAAGAUAGGCGUGUCCAGGAAACCACAGGCAACAUGGUGGCACUGGCCAGGCUCAGCAAUUACACAGAACACAGGAGCAUGCGGGUCCCCACCCCAGUGCCUUGGUUUCCUCCUCUGCACAAGAAGGGCACAAUGACGCGUACACUCUGAGCUCUCAGCCUGGGGCAAGGAAGGGGCACAACAUGGUCCACGGUCACCUUGACAGCGCCAGGACACGGGCACUACCUGAUCCUUGCCAGGCAAGGGAGCUGAGGCAUGGAGCGCUCAUCAUGCGACCUAAGGCCACAGGGCUGGGAACAAGCACUUUGCUGCCUCAGGAGACACAGGUGGGACAGAGAGCAGCUCCAAGCCAAGCACAGAAGGCACUAGAGAAGCCAGAACGCCCCGUGCAGGGCAGGAGGUGCUCGGAGAAUGAUGGGACAUAUCAGAAGAACUCGGCGCCGUCAGCACACUCCUCCCAAAGGACAACGGAGCCCACGGGAAGCGUGAGGAAAAGGAGGGACAAAUGGCAGCCCCAGAAAGCAGGAGGUGGGACAGGAGAUUGGGGACAGCCUUCUCUCUACUUUUGUGUACUCGUGAUAUUUUGUCAUGAUGCACGUUCUGGAACAGAAUAUCCUACGAGUUCAAAGUGAUACUAAAGUAACACAAUGAAAAGGAAGGAAGGAUUAAAAAAAAAUAAUAAAAUAAAAUCUCACGGUUGCUCUCCUCGAGAUACAGCACAAUCACACUCAACAAAGGCAGAAUCCAGCAGGGUCACCCCUGGACGCGGAGCCCACGCGCCUCAGCCCCUACAUCAUGCCUGGAUGAUAGAGGGAUGUGGGGGACUCGCCUCAGCCAAGAGACCCUAGUCUCGUUCCCCACGAGGGCAGCCUGGCCCUGUCAGCACACGUAGCGUCCAGGCCACAAGUGCAAACCCUGCAGCGGGGUGUGAAACACCAGAGGGAUGCAGAUGGGUGGUCUCGAGACCUCAGAAGUCCACACCACAUGGGAGAAAAAGCCUGUCCCAGUUUAAGGAGCCCAGAGAGCUGGCGGCCAAGUGCUGUAUGUGAUCCUGGAGCUCAGGACGGUGCCUGAAUGCCAACAGCCAGGUGUGGACGCCCUCUACCUAGCAGAGGUCAGGGCCAGCGUUCUGGAGUCAGGAAAGGAAAUGGACUUGUACUGGUUCAGAGAAAAAAAGAGUGUGAUGUGUACUGAGAGAGAAAGAAAGGGAAGGGAGGGGAAGGGAGGUGGAGGGAGGUGGAGAGAGGAGUAGCACAGCGCAGAGCCCUACGAGCGUCUGCAAUCCUGGAGGUCUGAAUUCUCAAGAGACGCAGUGUGGGGGGGCAGUUAUGAGCACCUGCAGGCCCCAGCUGCUACAGAGGACUAGAAUGACCCCAGCCUCUUGUUUUAGGGUUGGGAGCUGAGGCCCGGGACCUGCACCCCCUACCCGCCCCAUGCCUAUGGACCCAGGCCACCCACGUGGUGA